UACCCCUUCCUUUUUCUUCCCUUCCCCACCGAAGCCUCAAACCCUCCCCCUCUCUUCUUCUUCGUUUCUCUUCUCCAAGGGCAACAAGCUUCCCCUCUUUGCUGUCUUGCUUCUCGGCAGCACUGUCGGAGCUCCUCGGAGUUCGCCGGAGCUCGCCAAACCACCAGAAGAAGAGGGGAAACAAAACCCUAGUUGUCAUUCUCUUUUCUAGCCAAACACAGCAGCCAUCCGAGCUAACUGUGGCCUUCGCCGGAGCUCGCCGAGACCACCGGUGAAAGAGGGGAAAAGCAGCCCUAGCUGCUGUCCUUUUCUUGGCAGCACCGCCGGAGUUCGCUGGAGCUCGCCGAAGCUAGCUGAGGCGGCCAACGACGAAGGAAAAAUAACCCUAGUUGCUGUCCUCAUUUCCAGCAGCUACACAAACUCCUUAGAAGAUACGAGCUCGAGUGGAGCACGGUGACCUGCCGACACUCGAAGAUUUUGCUGUACAUAAGAUACAAACUCGAGUGGAGCACGGUGACCUGCCGACACUCGAAGAUUUUACUGUACAUAAGUUUUGCAGACAUGGGGAUCCUUUUGAUAUUAUAGUUGAUUUUGGACUUUCAUAGAGUUGCUCAGAGAUCUCGACGUGCUGAUUUUCUGGUUCAACCUAAGCAUUGGGGUCACUGUCUUCCUAUGAUUUGCAUACAAUAAAAUUGGUGACCAACGAUUUCUCCAACGAGAACAAACUUGGGGAAGGCGGAUUUGGUGUAGUUUACAAGGGCCCAAAUGAGUUCCAUAAUGAGCUCUCACUUAUUGCCAAGUUACAACAUAGAAACCUUGUUCGUCUGUUGGGCUCCUGCAUUGAAAGAGAUGGAUGGCUUAUUAUCUUGGAAUACAUGGAAAAUAAGAGCUUAGAUGCUUUCCUUUUUGAUAAAAUCAAAAGCUAAUUGCUAAAUUGGAUCAUAAUCGGGAUUGCGAGAGGCCUUCUAUACUUGCAUCAAGACUCCAUCUUAAGAGUCAUUCAUCGUAACCUUAAGCCAAACAAUAUCCUCCUGGACGAGGGCAUGCGUCCAAAGAUCUCAGAUUUCGACAUUGCAAGAAUAGUUGAAGUGGAUGAAAUGCUUGAGAAUGCAACUACAUGACAAUUGGAACAUUGGCAACUGUGAAGAUAUGCCAACGAUGGUAGAGGUGAUGAAUAAUGUUGGCAAGUGAGAAUCAACUUCUAACCCAGCUAAAGCAACCUGUAAUGACAUCAACCUCAACUAUCAGUGAAGGAGAUUUAACUAUAGAAGAAAUGAGUCUCCCUGUGUGACAGGCUGAUGAGGUGAAAUGAGUUCCUUUGAUUCUUAUUGAUUAUACUUUUGUCAUGUCAAAGUUCAUAAAAAUCAACUUCUACAGAAAUCAUCACGAUCACAGAGAAUAUCUUGAAUAUUAAUGAUUGACCAGCAUUUUCAGUUA